UACAGAGGGUGCAAGCGUUAAUCGGAAUUACUGGGCGUAAAGGGCGCGUAGGCGGCCUGCUAAGUCGAACGUGAAAUCCCUGGGCUCAACCCAGGAACUGCGUCCGAUACUGGUUGGCUUGAAUCCGGGAGAGGGAUGUGGAAUUCCAGGUGUAGCGGUGAAAUGCGUAGAUAUCUGGAGGAACACCGGUGGCGAAGGCGACAUCCUGGACCGGUAUUGACGCUGAGGCGCGAAAGCCAGGGGAGCAAACGGG
rnacentral:rRNA from 1 species